rnacentral:lncRNA from 1 species
AACCUCAGCUGUACCCCGCUCCUAUAAACAUAACACCUGCAGGCUGGACCCCCCGUACAAAUACAGGGACACCUCCAGCGUUACCUCCCCUACAUAACAUACACCUCCAGCUGUACCCCCCUACAUAACAUACACCUCCAGCUGUACCCCCCUACCUAACAUACACCUCCAGCUGUACCCCCUACAUAAACAUACCCCUCU